UUUUUUUUUUUUUUUUUUUUUUGUGGUACUGGGAUUGCACCCAGAGCCUCAGGCACACUACGCGUGCGUUCUACCACUGAAGUACGUCCCCAGCCCCCCUCACCUUUUGGGGAUAAUUAUUUUCAAAUUUUGAGACUGGGUCUUGCUAAAUUCCCUAGGCUGUCUUCAAACUUGGGAUCCUCCUGCUUCAGCCUUCCAAGAUCACAGGCUUGGGUCACCGCACAGGAACCAUUUGGAAGAUUUUAAAAGGCAAUUCAUUCUUGUGUUCUCAUUAACACAUUCACACCAUAAAUUAUUUCCAGGAUCAAUUCUAUAUGAGUCUGCCAGAGAUGACUGAAGAAUCUUCAGUUUCUGAGCAGGAAGAUUACAGGAAAAUGAAGGCAUUCAAUUCAGAAGAAGAAAUGAGAAGAAGGUAGUAGAUAAGAGCAUCUAAGAAGGGAAACUAACAGAUCCUGUAUUUGCAAGAAAAUAAGCAAGAGUAACAGCAGAUAUUAAAAUAAGCAAAAAAACAAAACAAAACAAAAAAACCUGUCUCAAUGCCUGAAAUAAACUGAGAAACAAA